rnacentral:rRNA from 1 species
ACAGAGGGCGCGAGCGUUGUCCGGAAUCACUGGGCGUAAAGGGCGCGUAGGUGGCCACCAUAAGGCCGCGGUGAAAGCUCGGGGCUCAACCCCGAGUCGGCCGUGCGAACUGCUGGGCUCGAGCACUGUAGAGGCAGGCGGAAUUCCGGGUGUAGCGGUGGAAUGCGUAGAGAUCCGGAAGAACACCGGUGGCGAAGGCGGCCUGCUGGGCAGUAGCUGACGCUGAGGCGCGACAGCGUGGGGAGCAAACAGGA